rnacentral:lncRNA from 1 species
GUGUCGGUCCAGGACUGUGCCUGCCAUUGAGGACUGCCCUUUCCACAGUUCCAUCCCAGGGGCUCAGCCUUGGAGGGGUGGAAGGCAAAGGGAAGAGGAGCGGCUGUGAGAAGGAAGACAUGACUAACCCUUCCAGAAUUCCAAGCUCACAGCAGCUCUGCCUGGAGAAGUUUCCCUUCAACUAGAGAGAAGUUCAGAUUGCACUGGAUGCUUUAAUUACUGAAAUCACAGACACAAUAACUGGAGCUCCAGCAGCCAUUUUGCUUGAGGAUGUUAAAGCAGAAAGGGUAGGAGACUUGAACAGACCAGCCCAAGACUGCCUGCUUCCAAAUUUAUUUUACUUUAGACAGAAGCGAACCCCGAUACUGUCACUUGAGGACUCUUCACUAGAGGCCAAAGACAGUCCGACUGGUAGAGAUGGAUGGAUACUCUCUUCAGAGUGUGAGCACAACAGGGUAGUUGGAGUUUGGACUUCAUGAUCCAUUUGGAACAGUCUAUGGGUCUGUGCUACAAGUGAAGAAAGGAUUUGUGAAGAGGUACACAUGUGCUCUGGCCUUGGGGGAGAAGAGAAGCCACUCAUGAGAUCAGAAGCAAUUUAAAGGACAAAAAAAAGUCAGCUUCCUCUGGG